rnacentral:rRNA from 1 species
AGAUUAAGUUAUUAAGGGCGCACGGUGGAUGCCUUGGCACUAGAAGCCGAUGAAGGACGUUACUAACGACGAUAUGCUUUGGGGAGCUGUAAGUAAGCUUUGAUCCAGAGAUUUCCGAAUGGGGAAACCCAGCAUGAGUUAUGUCAUGUUAUCGAUAUGUGAAUACAUAGCAUAUCAGAAGGCACACCCGGAGAACUGAAACAUCUUAGUACCCGGAGGAAGAGAAAGAAAAUUCGAUUCCCUUAGUAGCGGCGAGCGAAACGGGAAGAGCCCAAACCAACAAGCUUGCUUGUUGGGGUUGUAGGACACUCUGUACGGAGUUACAAAGGACGACAUUAGACGAAUCAUCUGGAAAGAUGAAUCAAAGAAGGUAAUAAUCCUGUAGUCGAAAAUGUUGUCUCUCUUGAGUGGAUCCUGAGUACGACGGAGCACGUGAAAUUCCGUCGGAAUCUGGGAGGACCAUCUCCUAAGGCUAAAUACUCUCUAGUGA